AGAACGGAUCUUAAUUAUCAGAAUGUUUGUAUUUUUCAGAUAAAACCAAUCGAGAUGAUAAAAAGUUGACUAAGAGUGAGUAAUAUUCUUCUGGGAAAGUCAAUGAUCUUAUCAAGCAAUCUCUGCCAGAAUAGGUGGUAACUGCAUUAGUAUAUUAAAUGAUACAGUUAUAAUUAUGGAGAGAGUAACUGUCAAACAGCGGGAGCAAUUUAAUCUAGUAACAGCACCGAAAACAUCGCGCAUCGUGAAUAAAGUCCAGAUUUAUUUUUAACAUAUUACGCAGACCUGAUUCCGGGAAUAUGUAUAAACGGCCACACAUGCUACCAAGUAAAAUGUGAAUUCGAUGGAUUUCGAUGCUGAACAGAAAAAGGCAACCUGAGGAGACCAAGACAUCUGUCAACGAAGAUAGAUAAGAGGGAAAUGAUUUAGAGACCGAGUUGCUUGGGCAUGCCAAUUGUCGAUUUAAAUCGAACCAAUUGACCAUUAUUGAGUAGUAAUGGUUACAGAACCAAGUCCUGGGUUAAUUACUAUUGAACUGGGAUAUCCACACAUCUGUCGUUUAUUCGGUUAACAGAAGGAAAAACAAGAUUUGUAAUGCUAAAAAGAAUUAACAUCUGUUUGGAUUUAUUAAAGUAUACCACUAAAGGAAUUAGAAUAUGAAAUUAGUUUCAAUGGAGAAUAGGAAUAUUUUAAAACGUUAAAAGUGUGUUAUGCUAUUAUGGAAUACGUUUACCUAAAAAAUUCAUUACAUUUAUACUUAUGCAUUCUGAAAAUAUAGUAAAACACGAGCCACCGAUGAUCAGCGUAGCGUUAUACGCGUUAAAAACAAAAGAGAAACGCAAAUGAACUUAUUACUUGGUCUAAUGCUAUUUAUGUGGCAGAAUAAAUAAGCAUUUCGCUCUAUGAAAGUUUCUCUAUUCGAGCGAUCAUACAUUCUUAUUAAUUUGGAUAAUGUACAGCAUCUGUUACGUUAACCCAGUUAACCAGCCGUCUAAUCCUACAUUACGAAAAUAGAGAAUGUACUAAAGUUUACGUAAUCCGCGUUGCCCGAUGAUGCAUCUUAAUUACCACAGGAGAGCAUAAUUUCCUUAUUCGCGUGUUUUUCCUUUACUUUGCGUCGAAUUACAUGACUUACUAUCCUGGGAUCGUUUGUUCUUCGCUUAUGUCGACGAAACGAUAUCCCUAGCUUUCCUAUUCUGUGAAUUUAAUGGCGUGAGAAAUAAAAGAACUUUCGAAAAGAAAGGUAGGAAACAGAUGUUGAAACAACAUUGGAAACAUCACUCAAAGACAACUAACGAGUUGCGAAGCCUUAAGUCUUCUUUCGUUUCUGCGACUGUCAUUUAAAUUGAACUUUUUCUACUGUACUGUUUUUCUACUUUACUAAUCAAAUAGGUAGACUACGGAUGUUUGUGCACUUAGGAAAAAUUAAAAAUGUAAAAAUAUUUAUACAAAAUGCAAGUACGUAGUAUACGUAACUACGUAAAAUAUCCAAAGUAAAGCGUUCAGUGUAAUACUUGGUGGAUAGAACAAAUUUCUAUAUAUAGCUUCCAUUUGUUUAGUUACAUUCAUAGCAACAUCAAAAUGCAUAAACAUCCGUGGUUUAAUAAUAAUACAUACUGUACCAAAAUAAGCCAAAUUUUCUCCAGUCCUAAAAUGUUCCAACUUUUUUCAGAAAUAUCGGAAGAUAGUCAUUCGUCUAUCCGUACGACCUAAAAUUUUACUUCUUCAGCGAAUCGAGAUAUUCUCUAAAUAAAUAAAUGAAUUGAAUUAAAUAAAAUUUCUUUAAUAGAGCCAGAGGAGUUCGUAGAAAAAGAAACAUAAAUAAAUGAAUUAAAGUAUGACAGACAUAUUGUAUAAAGAGAUACAAUCAUAUUUCAUUUGCAGUCUGGUUACCUUCUUGGCAUGGAAUAAAAACUUUUCCAUCAUGAAUAAUCAUUCUGUUCAUACGGUUUCCCAAGCAGAGGCAGACCUGCAUCGCAAAUCUCGAGUAAUAUCGGCAAGGAACGAUUUCAGAAGAAGAUACGGGAUAAAUAUCACGUGAAUACUCACGAACAACGACUAACGAACGCAAUUAGUUCAAUUAGCUCAUUGCAGUCGCUGUUCAUUUCUGAUCUGGAGCUCGUUGAUGGACUUGCGUCAGAAACGUGGUCAAACAAUCUCCAACGAAGAAUUAUGGCAUUCACUUUCAAGUAAUCUGAAUUUAUUGCAACCUGUUGUUUUAAUUUAAACACAAAUUAACGGUGCAAGUGUAAGAUUAAUAAAGAUUCUCCAGUCAAA